rnacentral:rRNA from 1 species
AUUGAACGCUAGCGGGAUGCUUUACACAUGCAAGUCGAACGGCAGCGCGGACUUCGGUCUGGCGGCGAGUGGCGAACGGGUGAGUAAUGUAUCGGAACGUGCCCAGUAGCGGGGGAUAACUACGCGAAAGCGUAGCUAAUACCGCAUACGCCCUACGGGGGAAAGCAGGGGAUCGUAAGACCUUGCACUAUUGGAGCGGCCGAUAUCGGAUUAGCUAGUUGGUGAGAUAACGGCUCACCAAGGCGACGAUCCGUAGCUGGUUUGAGAGGACGACCAGCCACACUGGGACUGAGACACGGCCCAGACUCCUACGGGAGGCAGCAGUGGGGAAUUUUGGACAAUGGGGGCAACCCUGAUCCAGCCAUCCCGCGUGUGCGAUGAAGGCCUUCGGGUUGUAAAGCACUUUUGGCAGGAAAGAAACGUCGCGGGCUAAUACCCCGUGGAACUGACGGUACCUGCAGAAUAAGCACCGGCUAACUACGUG